rnacentral:rRNA from 1 species
AGAGAGAGACAUGCGCGCAUAUCAAUAAGCGGAGGAAAAGAAACUAACUAGGAUUCCCUCAGUAACGGCGAGUGAAGCGGGAAGAGCUCAAAUUUGAAAUCUUAAAGGGUUUCCCUUUACGAAUUGUAGUUUAAAGAAGUGUUUUCUGUUGAGGUUUCGGUAAAAGUUCUUUGGAAUAGGACAUCAUAGAGGGUGAGAAUCCCGUAUUUGACCUUUACUUUCAACUUUGUGAUACACUUUCAAAGAGUCGGAUUGUUUGGGAAUGCAGUCCAAAAUGGGUGGUAAAUUUCAUCUAAAGCUAAAUAUUGGCGAGAGACCGAUAGCGAACAAGUACCUGUGAGGGAAAGAUGAAAAGAACUUUGAAAAGAGAGUUAAACAGUACGUGAAAUUGUCAAAAGGGAAGCGUUUGACACCAGUGUUGUUUUUCUGAAAAUCAAUUAAAGAACUGUUUAUGCUAAGUUGUUUAGACUUUAUCAGCUAACUGUUUAGUUUUGAGCUUUUCUUUAAUGCACUUUUCAGUUAACAAGUCAACAUCAAUUUCUUUUGCUGUAAAAAAGCUUGAGGAAGGUGGCUUGAGAUUCGUCUUAAGUGUUUAUAGCCUCUUGCCUAUGCAGUCGGAGAGAUUGAGGUCUGCAGCGUAGAUCCUUCGGGGCUAAAUGCAUUUGUGCUAAGUUAUAGCAUUUUAUAGACAACUUGUUGACUAUGAUUUGUCUUGUAGCUUACUCGCUUAUGUUAUUUUACCUACGCUUAGGAUGUUGAGCGCAUGUCUCUCUCU